ACUGCCAUAGGAUCAAGCAUGCCUCCAAUUAGCUCAAUAAUACGUGAGGGAUCAACUCCGCAUGUACUAACAUUCCACCACUUCCUUCGAGAAUCACUCAAAAAGACAAUUGCCUUAAUGGUGAAGCUUUCCAAGCAAAAGCAGGUUAUUGAGAACCUGCCAUUCGCACAGUAUCUUGGGUGCCUACUGACAUUAAUAGAAGACUGAUUACUAUAUAAGGGCGCCAAAAUGUCCAAACAUGUCAUUUGCUCCAUGAACUCCAGCUUGGAAUAUAUAGUACUAAACAAUUUAUUUAUGGAGCAAUUUAGAGCGUACAAGGCCAAUUAUGAAGAGUUAGAG
rnacentral:misc_RNA from 1 species